CUUUGGUGAAGCAAUUGAAGCAAAUGCAGAAGAGCCGCCAGACAGAACAGUCACACAAACGUCUGUCACAAGCGAUCCAAUCUAUAAGCUCUGACAUUCCUGCAUGGAAUGACUGCAGAAUGCAAGCAAAGAAACAAACUUCAACAGGAAGAGAUAUGCCUGAUUGUGUGAAGAAAUUUCAAAUGGAACAUUCAGUUGUAUGUGGUUUAUGAAGAUGGAGUGAGAUAGAAAGAUAAAGUCGGAUUGAAAGCUCUUCAUGUUCUCCGUCUAUCAGUAGGAAUAAUAGUGACACAUCAAAUGGUCUUCCUCUCCUGUCAUUGUGGUCACGUGAUGUUACUUAACCUGUCACGUGAUCUUACUCUACAGGUCACGUGAUGUUUGUAACGCUACAGAUGAGAAUAACCGUCCCAUAGUGUGAAGACUGAAUAUUUAAUUCUAGAUACUUUUAUUUGUUUAAGAGAUGUUUUGUAUUAUGAAAUAUAGAGUAGAAUGUAAAUAGUAAACAAUGAUAUAGAAUACUCUAAAAUA